AUUGAACGCUGGCGGCAGGCUUAACACAUGCAAGUCGAACGAGUGGCGGACGGGUGAGUAAUGUUUGGGAAUCUACCUUAUGGAGGGGGAUAACUACUGGAAACGGUAGCUAAUACCGCAUACCCUAGGAUGUGCCCACGUGGGAUUAGGUAGUUGGUGGGGUAAAGGCUCACCAAGCCGACGAUCCCUAGCUGGUCUGAGAGGAUGACCAGCCACCCUGGAACUGAGACACGGCCCAGACUCCUACGGGAGGCAGCAGUGGGGAAUAUUGCGCAAUGGGCGCAAUCCUGACGCAGCCAUGCCGCGUGAAUGAAGAAGGCCUUCGGGUUGUAAAGUACUUUCGGUAGCGAGGCGUUAACUACAGAAGAAGCACCGGCUAACUCCGUGCCAGCAGCCGCGGUAAUUC
rnacentral:rRNA from 1 species